rnacentral:rRNA from 1 species
GAUCCUGGCUCAGGAUGAACGCUGGCGGCGUGCCUAACACAUGCAAGUCGAACGAAGCUCUUACGACAGAACUCUUCGGAAGGAAGAUGUAAAAGACUGAGUGGCGGACGGGUGAGUAACGCGUGGGUAACCUGCCCUAUACAGGGGGACAACAGUUGAAAACGACUGCUAAUACCGCAUAAGCGCACAGUACCGCAUGGUACAGAGCGAAAAACUCCGGUGGUAUAGGAUGGGCCCGCGU